rnacentral:misc_RNA from 1 species
GAUGAAGAACGCAGCGAAAUGCGAUAAGUAAUGUGAAUUGCAGAAUUCAGUGAAUCAUCGAAUCUUUGAACGCACCUUGCGCCCUUUGGCUAUUCCGAAGGGCAUGCCUGUUUGAGUAUCAUGAACAUCUCAACUCCUCGCGGUUUGCCCGUGACGAGCUUGGACUUUGGGGGUCUUGCCGGCCUGUGGGUCGGCUCCUCUCAAAUGAAUCAGCUUGCCGGUGUUUGGUGGCGUCACAGGUGUGAUAACUAUCUACGCUUGUGGUUUUCCGCCAGGUAACCUCCAGCGAUGGAGGUUCGCUGGAGCUCACAAACGUCUCUCCUCAGCGAAGACAGCUCUUGAACGUUUGAUCUCAAAUCAGGUAGGACUACCCGCUGAACUUAAGCAUAUCAAUAAGCGGAGGA